CCUAAUCAUUCCAAACAAGAUUGUUGGUUUCAAAAUAAAAUGGAAAAAGAUGCGAAACAAAUUUUGCAAAAGAAGAUGAAGGAAAUAAGGACUUCUCUGUGAAUUAAGUUUGAUCAAAGUUUUUAACUCUCAAGUGAAACUAGGCAGUGGAGAAAUGUAUAGAACAAAAGGAAAAAGUGUCAUUAUGUUAGUUGUUCACACCAAGAAAGGAGAUAAAAGCAGUUUCCAUGACUAUGGCUGCUGGAUGGUGCUUGUUGUGGCCGUCGGCAUCUGUAGUAGGAGAUGUUUAAUCGAAUGUCAUACUCAUCAUCAUAGAAAGGAUGCCAAAUUCGAUCGGAAACAUAAGGGUAACUGAAACAAAAUGGUAAGGGUACAGCGAGGGGCAGACCGACGAGGGGCAAGAAGGAUGCGUGAAGGCCAUAUGGACGCGUCUAGUUUUCUUUAUGCUUCCGCUGAUAUAUUUUGUUAGGACAGUUGGUUUUGUGAUUUGAGUUUGAUGACUUGAGUAUUGUAUUUGAAACUCUCGUGACUGUGAUUUAAAAU